rnacentral:tRNA from 1 species
CAAAAAGUAGCUUAACACAAAGCACUCAGCUUACAAUUGAAUUAUGUUAGCGAAUAACUAACCUUUUUGA